GGGAUAACAGUUAGAAAUGACUGCUAAUACCGCAUAAGACCACGGUACCGCAUGGUACAGUGGUAAAAACUCCGGUGGUAUGAGAUGGACCCGCGUCUGAUUAGGUAGUUGGUGGGGUAACGGCCUACCAAGCCGACGAUCAGUAGCCGACCUGAGAGGGUGAUCGGCCACAUUGGGACUGAGACACGGCCCAGACUCCUACGGGAGGCAGCAGUGGGGAAUAUUGCACACACUGGGACGGGAAACUUCUGAUGCAGCGACGCCGCGUGAAGGAUGAAGUAUUUCGGUAUGUAAACUUCUAUCAGCAGGGAAGAAAAUGACGGUACCUGACUAAGAAGCCCCGGCUAACUACGUGCCAGCAGCCGCGGUAAUACGUAGGGGGCAAGCGUUAUCCGGAUUUACUGGGUGUAAAGGGAGCGUAGACGGCACGGCAAGCCAGAUGUGAAAGCCCGGGGCUCAACCCCGGGACUGCAUUUGGAACUGCUGAGCUAGAGUGUCGGAGAGGCAAGUGGAAUUCCUAGUGUAGCGGUGAAAUACGUAGAUAUUAGGAGGAACACCAGUGGCGAAGGCGGCUUGCUGGACGAUGACUGACGUUGAGG
rnacentral:rRNA from 1 species